rnacentral:tRNA from 1 species
GGGGGGGUAGCUCAGUGGGAGAGCGCCGCGCUCGCAAUGCGGAGGUCGUGGGUUCGAAUCCCAUCCCCUCCA